GCCACUGCACUCCAGCCUGUGUGACAGUGAGGCCCUGUCUCAAAAAAAAAAAAAAGGCAACACUUCUUGAGGCUGCUGGUUUUUCAGCCCUGCUGUGCUGCAUGCUUUUGGCGCUCACUCUAAUUCACAGGGCCUCGAGGGCGAGACUUCGGCUCACAGCUGUAUCCCAGGGCCUAGAACUGUGUCUGACAUAUACCAGUUUUUCUUCCCAGGGUCUCCCCAAGAGCUGCUUCCUUUGACUCCUGCUGUGUGUAGUUCUGCUGACAAUGACCUGGACAGCUCUGCGCCAUGCACAGCGUCUCUUUUCUCCGACUUACCAAAUUUUAGACACUACUGACUCCUCCAUGUGAAAGAUGGGAAUUCAGCUACAUCACAUUACCCUACAAACUUUAUUGUUAAUAUUUCUUCCCGGUCAGCCCCAAACACUGAAUGUAAAUACGGUCCAACAUCAACCUGCAAACGAACACUGACAUGAAAGUGCAGUUGGAAAGGAUCUCGCAAAGGAACAGAAUCUGGUGAUCCUAAUCGUAAUGAACGUGAUCGCCGGGUAUUGAGAGCUUGCAGGUACCAGGGCUCCGGCACUACGUGUUUCACAGGGGCCACUCGGUAGACCUCUUGGUGACCUUGAGGUCAGGUACCACGUUCCCAUUUUACAGAGGAGGAAACUGAGAUAACCUACGACAGCGAAAAGGUAGCAGAGCUGGGACUGGUGCCCAGGCUCGCCGAGUGGAAAAGCCCUCGGCCACCGUGGAGAGCUCGCUUCCUGUGGUCUGAAGCGUCGCCCCUGCACCGGCUUCUGCUGCCAAGGAUGGCUUUUCCUCACUGGUGCCCACCUACGCUCACUUGUGUCAUGUGGUUAAGCCCUUUUGGCAACAUAAGACCUUUCCCAAGAAUGUGCCUCGGUGCAGAGGAAGACGGUGGGGGCAGGCCCCCUCCCCGGGAUGCUCCACCCUCCCUGACCUCACACGGGUGCAACCUGGGCCGUGGCCGAGACCUGCUGUGUGGCAGACAAUGGGAAGCCUGUGUGUCGUCCUGGGUGCCGGAUUUAGACAAUAUUUAGCUUUCCCUUGGUGGAAAAGCCUUUCCCCUCCUGCUUUGGGCAGGAACUGGUUCCUGUUGGGCGGGGCCUGGCUGCUGCCCCACCCCCACCCGGCCGGGCACCUUGACCGGCAGCUCUCCGGGCUGCUCCCUGCCUGUGUCCCUGAGCACUGACUCCAGAGGUUUAAUCAUUAACGGGCACGUUUGGCCUUCGGUCGUGGGCUGGAAUUUGGGACCUGUGCCCGGGAACAAUGAUCUCCGACACAUUAUUUUGUGUAAAAUCACUUUUAGCUGCCAUUAGCUAAUAAAGCUGGAAUAAAGUGAGGUCCAUUAACCA
rnacentral:lncRNA from 1 species